GUCACAGCAGCUGGCUCAAGGCUGGGAGGGGAAGUAAAACACUAAAUCUAAGGACCACUCUAUUCACCCUACAGUGACUGCUCUUUUUCCCUCCUGCCACAGUCCAGGGUAGGAGAUACUUCUCCAGGCUCUCACUUAUGGGGGCUUUCCUGCUGGCUACAUCACUGAAAUGGAAUCUCCUAGUGGCCCUUCUCCCUCUACAGCUCUGGUGUUACACUGAAAAACUAGAAGUUUCAAAACAGACAAGGGAAAAAGAGAAACAUCAGAAAGUCUGAUUAAAGUAGAAGCAUCAUAUUUCUAUCAACGUAUCCACUGUGCUUGGCAGGGGAUGGGCCCUUCUGCUGCAGCAUAAGAGGGGUCAUUCAAUGGCCUGUGUCAGCUACUGGGAUGGACCUGCUGUCCAUGGGAUACUGACACCCACUAGUGAAGCAGAUCUUGCUCUGUCUCUUCUCUGUUGAAUUUUUGCCACCUUCAAUGAGAAAGACUGAAACAAAAAACUCAGAAGAAAGAAAGAGACUGAGAUAGCAAAUAUGACAAACUGUUAAAAAUUCAUGAAUCUGUUAUGGAAUACUAUGCAGCCAUAAAAAAGGAUGAGUUCCUGUCCUUUGCAAGGACGUGUAUGAAGCUGGAAACCAUCAUUCUGAGCAAACUAAAACAGGAACAGAAAACCAAACACCACAUGUUCUCACUCAUAAGUGGGAGUUGAACAAUGAGAACACAUGGACACGGCGGGGUGGUGGGAACAUCACACACCGGGGCCUGUCAGAGGGGAGGGGGCUAGGGGAGAGAUAGCAUUAGGAGAAAUACCUAAUGUAGAUGAUGGGUUGAUGGGUGCAGCAAACCACCAUGGCAUGUGUAUACCUAUGUAACAAACCUGCAUGUUCUGCACAUGUAUCCCAGAACUUAAAGUAUAAUAAUAAAAAGAGAGAUUAAAAAAAUUGGUGAAUCUGGGCAAAAUGUACACAGGAUUUUUCUGUACUGUUCUUGCAACUUUUCUACAGAUUUGAAAUGUUACAAAAUAAAAGGUAUUUUUAGAAAAAGAG
rnacentral:lncRNA from 10 species